rnacentral:rRNA from 1 species
UACGUAGGGUGCGAGCGUUAAUCGGAAUUACUGGGCGUAAAGGGCGCGUAGGCGGCCCGAUAAGUAGGACGUGAAAUUCCGCGGCUCAACCGCGGAACUGCGUUCUAGACUGUCAGGCUUGAGCACGGUAGAGGCAGAUGGAAUUCCCGGUGUAGCGGUGGAAUGCGUAGAGAUCGGGAAGAACACCAGUGGCGAAGGCGGUCUGCUGGGGCGUUGCUGACGCUGAGGCGCGACAGCGGGGGGAGCAAACAGG